CAAGAAUUUCAAGAAAGAAAGAAAAAAGAAGAAGAAAUUGAGGUGAGAAAGGGAAGAAAUUUCAGGGAGAGAGGAAGAAGAAAAGAAGGAAUAGAGGGAAAGAAGAGAGAAAGAGAGAAGAGCAGAGAAAAACCUGGAAUUCUGGAAGUUUGCAACACUCCCAUGAAUCUGCCCAGAGUUGUGACUCCAACAGAAAAUAUUGGAAACAAACCCAACUCAGAUCAAGGCUCUGAUACCAAAUUGUUACAUAACAGCCUGCCAACUAAGUGAAACAGAGGAAUAAGGAGAGAA
rnacentral:misc_RNA from 1 species